GGAAAAGGCAAACUCAGUUUCAUCUCCUGUCUCCCACAGUAUAGAACACUUCUGUGAGCUGAUGAGUGGGGAUUUCCCCCCACAGACCAAGCAAAGCAGCUGCGUGUCCUCCAACUCAAUUCAGUGCCGACACUGUCUACCUAGAGGUAGUGUCAGAUGCCACAGGUGGAGGGCUCAGUGCCACAACCGCCCUCCACUCUGAGGCCAAGAUCAAGCUCCCUGUUGUUUUGCUGUGCUUCUGACCAACCAGCUACCCAUGAGGGCUCCCCUAACUCUUCCCUGGGGUUGAGUGAAUUUUCUAGAGUGGCUCCCAGGAUGCAGGCAGACGCUUUGCACUGGCGUGAUAUAAAGGACACUGCCAAGGAUGCACAUGAAUGGCCAGGUGGAGAGAGGCAUGGGGUAAGGUGGACAAGAAGGGGUGCAGUGCUUCCCAGGCCUCUCCAGGGCUCCACCCUUCUGGAAUGUCCAUGUCUUCAGCUAUCCAGAAGCCCUCCAAACUCGGCUCCUUGAGCUUCCUCUGGAGGCUUCAUUCCAUAGGCAUAAAUGAAAACAUCAUUGGCUAUUGUUGACCAACUCAGUCCUCAGUCAGCUCAUUAGCAUACCAGAGAAAAGCCUUUAACCCUUAAGGGGUUCUAAGUGUUUUAGGAGUUGUGCGCCAGGAAAUGGAAACAGAGGCCGGAUAUAAAUAUAGAUAGAGAUUACAAAUAUCACAGCCACCAAAUGCAUUUAAAAAGUUUUGCUACCUUUUUUUUCUCUUUGAUUAUUACUUAGGCACAGUUGUUUGUUUGUUUUUGUUUUUUUGGUACCGGGGAUCAAACUCAGGUCCUUGCGCUUGCAAGGCAAGUGGCAGAUCCACUGAGCUAAAUCCCCAGUCCUAGUCACAGUUUUAUUUGGAGAAGUUGUACCAACCCUGAGGUCAGUUUGUGUGAACAGACACGAACACAAUGUUGGGAAAGGAUCUUCUCCCAGAUCUCUUGUUUUCCCUUGUGCUGGGGUUCAGCCCCAGAGCCUGGUGUAUGGAGAUCUACCACCUCUGCCACAGUGUGACACCCCAGCCCCUAGCCCUCCAUUCAAGUUUAACUCCAGGAGUUUGGGAAAGGGGAAAAGAUGGAUAUAACAGAGCAGAUUCUCCUCAUUUCAGCUAAGUGAAGGAGCAAAAGCACAUGUUUUCAAAGCAACAAGGGCAGGUGAGAAUUUUAAUUUUAUUAAUUUAUUUGUGUAUGUUUGUGAUAUGUGAUACUUGCAUUUGUUUAGGGGAGCUGGCACAUGUAAAGCUUGAUCAUUUUUUAUCUUUAUCCCCUCCCUCUCUGUCCCUCUUCCUCCUUUCCCUAGUCCCCUUCUGCAUCUCCAAAGUCUGCCUCCCUGUUUCCUACCAUCUGUCCUUUAUUUUACUCUUUAGUUAUAGUUUGCAUUUCUCAUGUAAGAGCAACCACGUGAUAUUUAACUUUCU
ensembl:lncRNA